AGUUGCAUGCAGGGUGAAGGCGGAAGUCCUGCUGAGACCUCGCAUACUGCACAACGCCGCGUUUGUUGAAGUUUAGCGCUUAACUCUACAGAACGGGAAUGGAUGUUAUCAGAGAACCUGGACGUUAUUGACUGCUUCCCCUUUUCAAGUCAACAAAGAAAUCACAUCCGUGCGAAUUUAACUCGCUCUCUCCUCAGCCUCGCUGAGUGGCUUUGAUGUUUCUCCGUCUCCCCCCUCUGUCUACCUGCCUGCCUGGGUGGAGGUGGAGGUGGAGGUGUAGCGGUAAUGUGAUGCAGGGAAGCGAUCGGAGCGAGACGGAGCUCUGACAGAGAACCCAGGUUCACACCAGAGCGCCUGAUGCUGCUCGCUCACAAGCACUGACAUGGGCACGCAGAAACCCCACACAGAUUCCUAGAUGAAACUGUUGGAUGACUGGUCAGAGUUUUGUGGAUGCGUUUAUGGAAAAUCCAGCCCCAACUCCUCAACCACCAGAAGUCGGUUGUUCAGCCAGAGAGCAGGAUGGAACACCAGGAGGGGUUUCCCAGGAGCUCGGCUCGGUGGGAACCAUGGAUCAUGUAGAGUCUGUCCCAAAACCACACGACUGCACGUCGACAGGUUGACUUCAGACUUGACAUGCUGGACCGUUAAUUUAGGGAAGCAACCACCCCCCUUCUUGGCUGUCUGACCGUGACAUUUGCUGCAGUCCUCCUGAGCAUCGCACUAACACCGAGGGUGGAACAUGGUAGCAGGCUGCUGUUAAAGGAGAAUGUUGUCAACCACCUGGGUGGCCCUGGCCCUGCCUUCUAGACACAAAUCCUCCUCAGAGCUGCAGCUACAAGUUUCCAAGCUUCCGCCUCACAGAGCAGCCUUUUCCAACGACUCCCCCCCACUCAGUACCUUCAGACUAGCCAGCAGCAAUUAGGAAACACCUGGUGGAACGGCACAUCUGCUGAGCUUAUUACAGUAGCUGCUGCUCAGUGCAACACUGAUUAAAAAGUGUAGUUAAAGGGUUAAUGAUAAAGACUCCCAAAGAUCAGAUUGUCGAUCUGUGGCCAGAAAACUUUCCACAUUUUGACUCGUGUCUCAUAUUUCACAUUUGCUAAUCAAGAUUAUUUAACCUAUGGGAUAGUUGUUGUUUUUUUAGUGUGUCAUAAGAACUUAACAUUUGCGUCACUGCCCACACCUUCUGCCAUGAAUAUGCUCAUCUGCUCUUUAGCUACAGAGUGACAUUAUGAAAUGUCAGAGUAAGCCAUGCUGAAAAUGUUAAUGUGAUUUAAUUGUUGAAAACAGUUUGGAAAAAUUGGACUGCUGCUAUGUUUUCACACAUCAACGUGGCAGUAACUACAACACGCUUUGAUUCUUUGCAGUUAUUCCAAGAUCAGAGCGACCAAUCAAAGCAAGUCAUUGUGUUGUGUGGGUCCACUUUAAUGAGAUUACAUAGCUGGCAGCCAGGAAGCAAUUAAGUGGAAUCAAUUAAUUUAGGUGGCAAAAUGCACUCUGAAAGCUUUUGUGAAGUAUCUAUUAAAGACUGUAAGCGUGCUUCACUUGUGAUUGGCUUCCCUCACCUCCACCUUCUCCUGUUCUUGAUGAAAACAUCCACACUUAGGAUUUCCACUUUUGCUCAGCGGUAAAAGAAAGAAAUCACAAAUCUUGAUUUUAAAAAUUAAUCAGCCACACGCGAUUCUUAUUUUUAUUCUGCAUUUUUAUACUUUGUUUGUAUUGUGUGAACUUUUGUCCUGUAUGACGUUUUCCAUCCAUCCUUCCGUUAUCUUACACACUU